AAAAAAAAAAAAAAGAGUGAGUGGAGUUUGUGUUUUAAGUGUGCAUUUCUGUAAUUGAAGACCCUCCAUGACGACGGUACGUGAUAUCAAAUCAAGGUUAGGAUUUUGAUUCAGAAAUAAGGCGGGGCCAGGAUCAAUUGACUCCCACUGCUCACUGAUCACUGCUCACUGCUGACUGCUGACUGCUCACGUGUAUUUAGAUUAGAACAAGAGGAGGUAGUGGUAUUUUUAUU